GACGUAGGGCGCAAGCGUUGUCCGGAUUUAUUGGGCGUAAAGAGCUCGUAGGCGGCUUGUCGCGUCGACUGUGAAAACCUGCGGCUCAACCGUAUGGUCUGCAGUCGAUACGGGCAGGCUAGAAUUCGGUAGGGGAGACUGGAAUUCCUGGUGUAGCGGUGAAAUGCGCAGAUAUCAGGAGGAACACCGAUGGCGAAGGCAGCUCGCUGGGACGGUACUGACGCUGAGGCGCGAAAGCGUGGGGAGCAAACAGG
rnacentral:rRNA from 1 species